AGAGUUUGAUCCUGGCUCAGAGCGAACGCUGGCGGCAGGCUUAACACAUGCAAGUCGAGCGGGCGUAGCAAUACGUCAGCGGCAGACGGGUGAGUAACGCGUGGGAACGUACCUUUUGGUUCGGAACAACACAGGGAAACUUGUGCUAAUACCGGAUAAGCCCUUACGGGGAAAGAUUUAUCGCCGAAAGAUCGGCCCGCGUCUGAUUAGCUAGUUGGUGAGGUAACGGCUCACCAAGGCGACGAUCAGUAGCUGGUCUGAGAGGAUGAUCAGCCACAUUGGGACUGAGACACGGCCCAAACUCCUACGGGAGGCAGCAGUGGGGAAUAUUGGACAAUGGGGGCAACCCUGAUCCAGCCAUGCCGCGUGAGUGAUGAAGGCCCUAGGGUUGUAAAGCUCUUUUGUGCGGGAAGAUAAUGACGGUACCGCAAGAAUAAGCCCCGGCUAACUUCGUGCCAGCAGCCGCGGUAAUACGAAGGGGGCUAGCGUUGCUCGGAAUCACUGGGCGUAAAGGGUGCGUAGGCGGGUCUUUAAGUCAGGGGUGAAAUCCUGGAGCUCAACUCCAGAACUGCCUUUGAUACUGAAGAUCUCGAGUCCGGGAGAGGUGAGUGGAACUGCGAGUGUAGAGGUGAAAUUCGUAGAUAUUCGCAAGAACACCAGUGGCGAAGGCGGCUCACUGGCCCGGUACUGACGCUGAGGCACGAAAGCGUGGGGAGCAAACAGGAUUAGAUACCCUAGUAGUCC
rnacentral:rRNA from 1 species